CUUACUUAUUUUAGGAUGGUGGUGGUCAUUUACUGUUCCAUUAAUAGAUAAUUAGUUGUGAUUUUUAUCCUCAUUAAGAAAUGUAUUAUAUAUGAUAAAUUUAAUCUUUCUCCAAUUUGUUUGAUCAAACCAUUUUAAGUUUUUGUUCUAAAGAUAUCAUAGAAUUUGCAAGCCUAUAUAUGGGAUCAGGGUGUAUCAUUGUGUGGGCCAUUUUUUUUAAUAAUUCAGAAAGAUUUAUAUUAUUGUAAUGAAAUCCAUUGUUCAAACAUUUCAGCCAC
rnacentral:lncRNA from 1 species